GAAAAAGUUUCAACAGAAAUGUCACUGUAUUUACAGAGUAACUUCCUGGUACACAUGAGGUCAGCUGGGGAACAGAAAGGACAGGAGCAGAUGAUUAGAAACGGUCAUUAAAGUAAUUCCCCCGGGUAACAGGAACAGCACUUCAUGUGGUUUAUAGGCCUUCUUUCUUCUGUUUGGCCAGGGGCUUUAUUCCCCUUUAUCCCUGUGACGGCGGGGGCCUGUAAUAAUAUCUUGGGCCAGGUGCAGUAGCUCAUGCCUGUAAUUCCAACACUUUGGGAGGCAGAGGCAGGCAGAUCACUUGAGGCCAGGAGUUGAUCAUUUGAGACCAGCAGUUGAUCAUUUGAGACCAGCCUGGCCAACAUGGUGAAACCCUGUCUCUACUAAAAAUACAAAAAUUGGCCAAGCGUGGUGGCUCAGGCCUGUAACCCCAGCACUUUGGGAGGCCGAGGUGGGUGGAUCACUUGAGGUCAGGAGUUUGAGACCAGCUUGGCCAACAUGGCAAAAACCUGUCUCUACUAAAAAUACAAAAAUUAGCUGGGGGUGGUGGUACACACCUGUAAUCCCAACUAUUGGGGAGGCUGAGGGUGAACUGCUUGAACCCGGGAGGCAGAGGUUGCAGUGGGCCAAGAUUGUGCCACUGCACUGCAGCCUGGCCUCCACCUCCUGGGCUCAAGUGAUCCUCCUACCUCAGCCUCCCAAGUAGCUGGGCCUACAGGCACACACCACCAUACGCAGCUAAUUUUUUUGGUAUUUUUUGUAGAGACGUGGUUUUGCCAUGUUCCCAGGCUAAGGAAAUCUAAUCUUUACAACUUUGCCUUCUGAAAUCUUACAUAUACUAACUUAUAAUUUGCUUUCCUGUUUUGCUUCACUGAGAUGUUCUAGAG
rnacentral:lncRNA from 1 species